rnacentral:lncRNA from 13 species
CUCCCCAUCUCUCCCAGCUCUCCACCUCCCUGGUCUCGGCCUUCUCCCCCGUGCAGCCAGGGGUGCCCACGGCCCUAACCCGGCAGGUGCGCCAGAUCCCCCUCUCUCCCCCCUCGGUGCGGGCUCUCCACCACACCAAGACCCUCCACCAGGGUGACCCCCAGCAGGACCCUGUGCUGCUCCCCAAACACGGCACCUGGUCCACCUCCCACACCCACAUAUACGGCCCCGUGCACAUGCCCCCCGUGCCCCAGCCUGUCCUCCCAGUGGCCCUCCCUCUGCCGCCCCGCCACAGCCGGGUCAAGCCCCACCCCCUGGACCAGGCCGGCCAACCCCAUAUCCCGCCCCACCUCCCCCAUGCCAAUGGCCAAUCAGAGGACUAUUAUAACCUCGCUCAGCAGCAACAGCAGCAGCUAGGUUACUGCGAGGCUACCUCCUUGCCCCCUCUGAUUGGUCAGUCUGCGCAGGGCCCUGUCCCCGUCUCCUCCAACCAACCCCAGUACCCCUCCUCAUUCCACCCCCAGCCACAGAUGUCCCAGGCCACGCCCCCACCACCACCAGCAACCCAGCAAUUCUCUCCCCCCUCAUACACCCCAGCCCCAUCAGAGUGGGGUUCACCCAACCAGACACCCUCUCCCGUCUCUCAGGCUGCCACGGCAACCUGCAGUCCGGUUUCUCUCCCCGCCGUGCUCGCUGUGGCCCCACCGGUGGCUCCGCCUGCCCCUAUGGCACCUAUGGCCCCCCCUCCUCCACCGGGCCCCCCGCCUCCGGCCACAGUGCCACCGCCCAUGCCCCCCCCACUACCGGUUGGUGGAGGGCACGGAGGGCCUCAUUUAGAGGGGGCAGGGAACGAGCUGGCACAGCCACUCUCAGGUCUGGCUGCUGCCCUGGCUGGAGCCAAACUCCGCAAAGUUGCAAGGGAUGAGAACAGUCCACCAGGAACAAGUGUAGCCAAGAACGAUGGCAACCGCUCCAGUGGAGGGGAGGGGCUAAUGCAGGAAAUGAACGCCCUUCUAGCACGCAGACGGAAAGCCUCAGAGAAACCUGAAGAGGUAAUUCACUUGAUCAUAUUUGAAAAAUAUCAAUUAUAA